CUCGCUGAAGCCUGAACUCGAGUAGGUCGGCAGGCCCCAAGCAAGCCAGGAAGGAGGAGGCAGCCAGGGUGGCCUCCACAGUUCUCUGCAGCAGACCCUCUGCCCAGGCCAGCCCAGUCCUUGCCAGUUCAGAAGCAAGAUGCUGCUGAAGACCAAUUUCAGGGGAGCAAUGGCAGGAGAGGUGGCAUGCCUUCAUAGUAACAUAGAAAGCUGCCUUACACUAAAUCCAACCAUUGAUCAACCUACGCAGUAUUGUCUACAUUGAUUGGCAGCAUUUCAGGUAUAAUCAUAGAUGGUCAUAGAUGUAUGAGUCAGCCCUUGGCAGAAGUUAGGCCUCCUGUUUCGGUCUGUUGUUCAUUUUAAUUUGGUUGGUUUUUGGUUCAUAUUAUGAGCUGUCAGCAUCAAAGACUGAAGGAGAGCAUUUCUCAUAGUCUUACCCACAGUGUGAAGCAAAAGCUGUUGAUUCAGGAUGCCACAACAUUAGCUUGUGUAAUGGGAUAUAGCUAACUGCCACCCAUCCCAGUGAAACCCUAUUGGUGCCAAUGAAAUCUUGCCCAUCAACCCCCAAUCCAACCCUAACUCCUUAAGCAAUGUUGGUGAGGUUAGGCUUUGGGAGGCAGACCCACAGAAUGGCAUGAACAACAGGAAUGGCUUGGACUCUUCAGAUCACAAUGUACGGGGCCCAAUCUGGAUUGUGACUGUGACACAGAAGCAGAGAUGCUCCUGAACACAAAAGGUGCUUUUUUCCUGCCUGGAGUUCCCAUCCUCCUCCUAAUGACGGCCCAUGGAAUAGCUACUGGUCCAUGGUGAAGCAACAGAAGAUGAACUGUUGACCCAGGUAUACAGGGCAGGACACAAGGGAAAUGCAUACCAGGACUGUCACAGCAAGUGCACACAUGUUGGAGGGAAAGCAGAGAUUCCCAUCAGACAUGAGUGAACAUGAUGGAUGGGACUCCCACCCACCCACUGGCUUUUACUCCAACUGUCUCUGCUAAUGUAUUGCUCUCCUGUUCUGUUCACAGGUUGCUUUCAGAUUAUACAUUACAGAAAGUUUCUUCCACAGUAGAGGAUUGACUUCAAUUACAGAACCAUUUUCUCCAUUCAGUCUAUUUCAUCUCAGGAGAUGGGAUGGUAUUUUGAAGAGAUUCCGUUGUUUGCUCUGCCCCCUAAUAUUUCUUCAGGAAACUGGAAUCUACAGCUCACAAUCUGUAAGGAUGGCCCAGAACUUUAAAUGGCAGUCAUGUCUGAUGCAGGGACUUGGGCGUCACAUUGGUGUUUCAUGGUAUUAAUACAUAAGCUGUGAACCACAGAUGCAGGUUCUUAAUGAUGAUAAUGUAUGUCUAAUAAGGAACUGUGUUCAGUCAGGCUUCCAGGUGUGAGUUUUAAAAUAUGCAAACCUUUGGUGUGGUGUGGGAUUUGAAAUCAGGGGAGGGCUCCCCAGUCAUAGUCUAACACUAACCACUAAAACUGUAACAGAUCGGAAACUGAGGCUUGUUAACUUUAUUGUACAAAGUUACAAGGUUUAUUUAACUAUUACCAAAUCAUAAACAGUCCUACUCUGAGUGAAAGAUCAUCCUAACAGAAAAAUAAAUCACAACCAUUCAGUAAGAAAUACAAACUGAUCAAUCAGUUUACAGAACUGAUGAUUGACAAACAUUCUAAAUUCCACCAUUAGCCUACACACAUACAAUACCAUGGCAAGAACAAAGACAAUGCAUAUUCAUGCAAAUGCCAACAAAAAUAUAUCAUGCUGGCUAUUGUUGCAGGGUACACAGUGAUGGCAUUACUACCUCUGAUUGUUCAAAAGCUUCAGUCUGUGCCCUCCGAUCACAAGAUUCCCUCAGGCUGAGUGUCAUCAUCCCGUAGAGAGAAUGUAAAAUUUCAAAGCACAAAGGUUUUUGGUUUUGUUUUAAUCAUCUGCCAUCAAAUGCACACUGCAAGUAGUUCAUCACCAUUUUUCUGUACCAAUCAUGGACAAUGGUAAAUAAUAAAUUCCUUUGAAAGAAUGUGUUAAAUAAAAGGUACAAUUCCCACAA